UACGUAGGGUCCGAGCGUUGUCCGGAAUCAUUGGGCGUAAAGAGCGUGUAGGCGGCUCUUUAAGUCCCGCGUGAAAUCCUGCGGCUCAACCGCAGACGGUCGUGGGAAACUGGAUGGCUAGAGUGCGGGAGAGGAGAGUGGAAUUCCCGGUGUAGCGGUGAAAUGCGCAGAUAUCAGGAGGAACACCGGUGGCGAAGGCGGUUCUCUGGGCCUGUACUGACGCUGAGGAGCGAAAGCGUGGGGAGCGAACAGG
rnacentral:rRNA from 1 species